rnacentral:rRNA from 1 species
UACGGAGGGAGCUAGCGUUGUUCGUAAUUACUGGGCGUAAAGCGCACGUAGGCGGCUUUGUAAGUUAGAGGUGAAAGCCCGGGGCUCAACUCCGGAACUGCCUUUAAGACUGCAUCGCUUGAAUCCAGGAGAGGUGAGUGGAAUUCCGAGUGUAGAGGUGAAAUUCGUAGAUAUUCGGAAGAACACCAGUGGCGAAGGCGGCUCACUGGACUGGUAUUGACGCUGAGGUGCGAAAGCGUGGGGAGCAAACAGG